UACGAAGGGUGCAAGCGUUACUCGGAAUUACUGGGCGUAAAGCGUGCGUAGGUGGUUUCUUAAGUCUGCUGUGAAAGCCCCGGGCUCAACCUGGGAAUUGCAGUGGAUACUGGGGAGCUAGAGUGCGGUAGAGGGUAGUGGAGUUCCCGGUGUAGCGGUGAAAUGCGUAGAGAUCGGGAGGAACACCAGUGGCGAAGGCGGCUACCUGGACCAGCACUGACACUGAGGCACGAAAGCGUGGGGAGCAAACAGG
rnacentral:rRNA from 1 species